AGAGAUAGAGGAUUUAAUCAAGUAGGAUGGACAAAACAACUGUAACAAAAUUAAUAUUGUACCAAUAAUAUGAAUUUAGUAAUAUCCUGGGCAAUCUCCAUACUUGGAAAAAGAGGAGAGGAAAGGCAGUGAGAAAACACAACUCGAAAUGAAAGUAGACAAGGGGCACUCACACAUUCUCACUGCUUAAAAGCAGCAUGAAGGUCAACACUCUGCUCUUCGACAACUGGAACACAGGACCAAAGGCCAGAGGGCUGCAGCAUUCAAGGAAAUUUCAAAUGGCUUUGGGAAUGAAGUAGAAUGGGCACGAUCCAGCUUCUCAGAUGGCCAGUACAUGUGUGUAAGAGAUGGAUUCCCACUGGACUUAAUAAAGCCAUGGGGCCUUGGCUGGAUAGCCAAAAUAUACACAAGGAGGGGUCCUGGCUCAGCACGCUGACUAGAAAUAUUGGCUUGUCUGCCCAGUUUCAGAGAUAAAGUUGAUCUUUGCAAUGCUUCCAUUUCCCAAGGACUUUAAAAAAAAUUGAUAGAAUUCCAGGGCCUGUUUUUUGAGGAAGAGAAAAAUGUGCAGUUUCAGCAAGUUCAACUUAAAAAAAAAUCAUUUGUUUAUUUAAUAUAUUUUAUCAUGCCAUGCCCCACAAGCACUUGUAGCCCUGUAUAAAUAAAAUAAAAAACAAAACAGCAGAUCAAAUGUAUUGAUCAACCAAUAUACCCACAGCCUCAGCCUGUAAAAUCGCAACUUAAACAGGAUAAAGUACAACUAAGUGUAAUUAAAUACACCAGUUUAUUUUUUGUUUUAAAGUUUACUUCAGUUCUGGAAUACUGAUUCAUACAUCUCUGAGUUCAACUCAUGAUGAAUUAAGCAAUGAAGAACUUUCAGUAGAUUUAUUAAAGUCAAGUCAGCCAAGACAAAACAGAGCAGGACAUAAAUAUUUCAGAACACAUAGCAUUAGGCAAUACCAAAAAAAUAAUGAAUUGUAAAUAUUCAACAUUGCUUAACUACUAACAAUGUGUCAAAAAUAUUCAUGCAGUGCUAAUUAAUUCACUAAUGAAGAAAGGAAUUCUAUCAAUUGAUCUGGUUACAAUAUAUGAAGAAACCUGGAUAUUCUUGAAUUCAGAGCUGGAUGCAGCAUUAUUUUUCAAUGGCUCUUGUCGUUAACAACACUAGCUCUGUGAUGAAUGCUGUUAAAUCAGAUCUUCAAUACAUUUCCAGACUGAUCCUAUGCAUCUGGACUCCAGGUUUAUUCCUUUGGCAUUCAGUGCAUGCUGAAUGAUGGGUGCUGUGAUCCAACAUAUCUGCAAGGACCUAUUUGGGAAGGCCCCAGACAGGGAUGAGAGCAGGGAUGCAGGUAGUUCUCGACUAA